CCUACGGGGUGCAGCAGUGAGGAAUAUUGGUCAAUGGGCGCGAGCCUGAACCAGCCAAGUAGCGUGAAGGAUGACUGCCCUACGGGUUGUACACUUCUUUUAUAAAGGAAUAAAGUGAAGCACGUGUGCCUUUUUGUAUGUACUUUAUGAAUAAGGAUCGGCUAACUCCGUGCCAGCAGCCGAGGUAAUACGGAGGAUCCGAGCGUUAUCCGGUUUUAUUGGGUUUAAAGGGAGCGGAGAUGGGUUGUUAAGUCAGUUGUGAAAGUUUGCGGCUCAACCGUAAAAUUGCAAUUGAUACUGGCAGUCUUGAGUACAGUUGAGGUAGGCGGAAUUCGUGGUGUAGCGGUGAAAUGCUUAGAUAUCACGAAGAACUCCGAUUGCGAAGGCAGCUUACUAAACUGCCACUGACAUUGAUGCUCGAAAGUGUGGGUAUCAAACAGGAUUAGAUACCCGGGUAGUC
rnacentral:rRNA from 1 species